GGGGUAGUGGUUCAGUGGUAGAGUGCUCACCUAGUGUGUGUGACGCCCUGGGUUCGAUCCUCAGCACCACA
rnacentral:tRNA from 1 species